ACACAUUUGUAAGUACAGAUCAGUAAAAGAAAGAGGAGAAACAGUUAGCAAAACAUGCAGUGUAUUAAAAACAAAGUCAAACAUUUUGCCUGUGAUUUAUUUUUUAAGUUUCAAAGACAUUUUAUUUAGUUUCAAUUUAUAUUUUUAUUAGUUUUUUUUGAAAAGUUACAUUCAUUUUUAUUGGCACAAAGGUAAUUCCAUAGACGUCCAGCUCCCUCUCUCUGGACAUAAUCUGUGGAGCUAGAAUGUAUAUGUACACACUAAGCUCCACCCCUUAGAUCCACAGAGGUCAAGCUCCACCCAAUUGGCUCUGCGCCACUUGCAUACACACAUUAUUCAAGUCAUAUUUUAGAUUUCCUCAUUCUGAACAACUUUGCCUCAAGAACCAGUGGUGUCAUUCAAAGUUUUAAAUAUUUAAAAUUAUUAAAAAAUUAAAAAAAAAGUGUGGGGGGGGAGGGGUUGCAAACAAGUUUUUCUCAGCAAAACCAGUAGUACAAAUUGUUAUAUUUCUGUGGUAAAUUAGGCUACCUGAAAUGGACUACUUGCACUGAGCCUCGUGACACACAUCCGGUUUGAAAUAUUACGGCUCAGUUGUUUCCGGUUGUAUAUAUUUUCAAUGCACCGUUAUCACAUAGCUAACUAAACGCCUCUUAAAAUGAGAGUCCCCGGGAUGAUUUUAAAUUUUUGAAUAGUCUGAAUAGUCAAAUACACGCACACACAGAUGUCAAAAUGUCCACUGUGUGGAGUAUCUCGCGUGAAUACGUCGGUUAUGGCUUAAGUGGACGUAAGUGGGUAAUAACUGGAUAUGUGUCAGUAUAUUAUGUCCAUGCAUUCAGCAAUUAAAUAUCUGUCUGUCAUUAAUGUUAAUCAAAAAAAAAAAUAAAGAUGUUAAAUAAAUGUAUACAUGUUAAAUAAACCUACUGUAUCUGAAAAAAGAUUUUUUUAAAUUUGCUAAUUUGCUUCUUUGUUCUUUUAUAUAGCCUAAAAAAAAAAAAAAAAAAGAAAAAAAAAAGAAAAAUCUAAAAAUUAACUUAAACUUAAAAUUUAUCAUAUUAGCCUAUGCUCAUAUUGCCCACCCCUUACCUGUACAUACCAGCUGAUAUACAAUGUAGGCCUAGUCUUGAUUUGGGUGGUUUCUCUGCAUUUGAAAGUUUGAAAGGGUUUUAAAUCUUCUAAAUCAAGUAGAAUGACUCAAAAUCAAGUAAUUUAAGCAUGCCAAAGUCAACUUUAAUCAUAUAAAAUGCAAUUUCCCACCAGCAAAAUUGUGGCCAGUGAAAAUGCUGAGUGGCUAGUAACUUGACCCUGAACUAUAAACUUUGGUUGAAGCUGGAAGGCUGGAAUCCAUUUGGCUACCUGAUUUAUACAACAUCAGCAUAUAAGUUGGCAUCAUGUAUUUUUUAUAUAUAUUACUGUUGCUUAUUUUUUGCAACCAGGGAUCAAAUGAAUUAAAUGAACACAAUAAGGAGAGUGAGCCCGAGUUGUGUUUGCUCCACCUCAAACAACUGUCAACUUCUCCAAUGAAAAUUCCAGAGUUUUAUCAUCAGCCAAUUAACUUGCUUCAUAAACUGAACAUUUUUUAUUUUCAAGUGUAUGUAAAUGAGAUUUUGUAUUUUCAGAAUCUUAUGGUGUUAAACGAUUAUUUUAUUGGUACAGAGGACUCUUUUUUUCAGUUUACCAUUGAUGGGGAUCAUGAUAAAUCAUUUCCCGUUAAUUUAAAAUUACGAUGUAUGAUAAUGCUUUUAUUGAUGUUAUCUGGAAAUGUUCAGCCAAAUCCUGGGCCUAUUACAUCUAUGCAUUGCUUACCCACUCCCUCAGAUUUCAAAAGUAGAACAGGCCUUGGGUUUAUGCAUUUAAAUGUUAGAAGUUUGGUUCCUAAACUGGAUAUGAUUAAGAUUUGGGUAAAUACGUCAAACGCUGAUAUAAUUGUUCUUUCUGAAACCUGGCUUAAGAAAUCGAUCACUGAUGAUUUGAUUUAUAUUGAUGGCUAUAAAGUCUAUAGAACUGAUCGGGUGGGUAAAGGAGGCGGGGUGGCCAUUUAUGUUAAAUCUAAAUUUGUUAGCUCUGUAACUUUAUUAGUUACUAGAGCUAAACAGUUUGAGGUUUUGGCCAUCAAAGUGGGUGUUUCGAAAGUUUCUAAUAUCACUGUGGUUGGCUGUUAUAGACCUCCGUCUGCUACAGGGGAUGCUUUCAAAGCUUUUUCAGAUAUUUUACAUGAGUUAAAUGACUCUUCUGAGUUCAUCCUUAUGGGUGAUAUGAAUUGGGACUGGCUCUCUAGGACCUCAGAUUGUCUUAAAGAAUUGUGUGACUCCUUAAGUCUUACGCAACUUAUUAAUGUACCAACAAGGCUAAAUACUAAAGCGCAACAUAAAUCUACUUUACUGGAUCUAAUUAUAACAAAUGCUGCACAUAAAUUUAUUUCAACUGGUAUAUUUUGUAAUGAUAUCAGUGAUCAUUGUGUAAUUGCUUGUGUCCGUGAUACAAAACUUCCUAAGGUAAAACCCUGUUUUAUUUUUAAAAGAUAUUUAAAAAAUUUUGAGGAACAAGCAUUUUUGCAUGAUGUAUAUAAUAGUGAUCUUAGAAGGGUAACUUUAAUACAGGAUGUUGAACUGGCAUGGGAAUAUUUUCAGUCAAAUUUUCAGCUUAUUUCUAAUAAACAUGUUCCCAUUAAGAAGUUCAGGAUUAGUGGUAGGGAUUUGGUUUUCAGAUAGUCUUUCAGAAUUAAUUCAUUUAAGAAAUAAAUCAUGGGCACAAGCUAGAUUUUCAAAUAAUUCUGCUGAUUGGUCUAUAUUUAUAUCACUAAGGAAUAAGUGCACUUGGAUGAUUAGGAAGUCUAAAUCGGAGUUUUAUUUAAAGUCAGUUACAGAGAAUUUAAAUAACCCUUCAAAAUUUUGGAAAAUAAUUAAAUCCAUGUCAGGGACUCAUGUAGCCUCUAGCCUACCUGAAUAUAUUCAGGUUGGGCUAGAUAAAAUAAAUAAUAAAGUUGCUAUGAUUAGCCAGUUAAAUAAACAUUUUAUACAAGCUGGGUCUGUAUUUGACAGUUUGAAUGCAAAUACAACUGUACCAUGUUCUGGGAUUACACCAGCGACUGGUAGUCUGGAUGUUUUUGUUUUUAAACCAGUUUCAGUAAAUCAGAUUUGUAAAGCGCUGAAAGGCAUUGGUAAUACGACAUCUGUGGGCCCAGAUAACUUAGAUCCUUAUCUUUUGAAGGUGGCAGCGGAUAUUAUUGCUGAGCCACUUACUCAUAUAUUUAAUCUAAGUCUUGUAUCAAACUCGUUACCUAAAAUUUGGAAAGCUGCUUAUGUUCUCCCAUUAUUUAAAGGUGGUGAUCCCUCAGACAUGAACAACUAUCGUCCCAUCUCCAAACUUUCAGUUUUGACUAAGAUUUUUGAAUCUCAGGUAAAUUCACAGUUGAAACAGUUUUUAUUUGAUAAUAAUAUUUUAAAUUCUUAUCAAUCUGGUUUUAGAACUGGCCAUAGUACCAUUACUGCUGCUACAGUAGUGUUAAAUGAUAUUAUUGGUGCCUUGGAUAAUAAACAACACUGUGCAGCUUUAUUUGUGGACCUGUCUAAGGCGUUUGAUUCAGUGAAUCAUGAUUUACUGAUAAAUAAACUUAGUAGUGCUGGUUUCGGACCAGGAACAUUGAAAUGGUUUAGUGUGUUCAUGUGGAGGAUCUUAAAUCUGAUUUUCUUGAUAUAUCUAAAGUGGUCCCCCAGGGUUCCAUUUUAGGACCUAUUUUGUUUUCUAUUUAUAUAAAUGAUUUGGGUAAGGACAUUCAAGCAAAAAAACACUUUUAUGCUGAUGAUACUAUUAUUUAUACACUUGCUCCAUCUAUAACACAGGCGGUAAAAGAGCUUCAGAUUGCAUUUCAGUUACUGGAAGAUGCUCUGGUUAGUUUAAAAUUAGUUUUAAAUUCGCAGAAAACAAAGUUUAUGGUUUUUUUCAAAAGCUCAGGCACAAGUACUUGAUAAUUUUAGUAUUUUUGCAUCUGAUGGUAAAGUUAUUGAAAGAGUACCUUUUUAUAAGUACUUGGGCAUUUGGAUUGAUGAUAAGCUUUUGUUUAAUGUACAUAUUGCUAAUCUAAUCAGGAAACUCAAACUGAAGCUUGGCUUUUAUUUUAGAAAUAAAUCUAAUUUUACUUUUAAGACCAAAAAGAAACUUGUAGAAGCUACCUUUCUAACUGUGCUUGAUUAUGGUGAUAUAUUAUACAUGCAUGCAGCCUCUUCUAUUUUAACAUGCCUUGACUCGGUAUACCAUGCUUCACUGCGUUUUAUUACAAAUGCAAAAUCCCGUACUCAUCAUUGCAUUUUAUAUGAGAUGGUGGGUUGGACAUCAUUAUCUAUACGUAGAAAACAACACUGGUACAUUUUUAUUUAUAAAGCAAUGUUAGGUAAACUUCCAGCUUAUCUCUGCACUCUUCUUUGUCUUUGUUCUGGCAAUUACCAGCUACGCUCUUCCAAGUGUUUGCUUUUUAACAUACCACGAGUUUGUACAGAACUGGGGAAAACUGCUUUUUCAUAUUAUGCACCCUGGGCAUGGAAUAAUUUGCAAAAAGAUCUAAAACUAGAUAAAUUUGUGUCUAUUGGUGAAUUUAAAUGCAUUACAAAGAGAGUGGUAUUGGAAGUUUGUGAUUGUUUUUGUUGAGAGGAUGUGUUUGAAUAUUGUUGUAAUGUGUACUUGUUGUAUUUUAAAACUGUUUUACUGUUUGGCUGUUACCUUGGCCAGGUCUCUCUUGUAAAAGAGAUUGUAAAUCUCAAUGAGACUUCCUGGUUAAAUAAAGGUAAAAUAAAUAAAAUAAAAAUAAUCUCCUUAUUUUUUGCAUUAUCAUUAUUUUUCUGUAACUCUGACUGCAUGUGUUGAAAAAAAAAUGAGAAAUAGUAUUUCAUAAAAACCUUUAAAAUUGCCAGAGAAGUAAGGUAACACCAGUGACAAAAAAUAAAUAAAUAAAUGCACAACAACAAAAAAAAAUAAAUAAAUAAAAUAAAAUCAUUAAGCUGUCAUUUAUGUGUAGGCCUAUUCAUAAAGUCAAAGGGUAAUCUAAUAAUGUGGUCUAAGUUUAAAUGUUAGAAAAAGAAACAUAGUUAAGGCAGUUAUCACAUUCAUUCAACUAUUUCAAACACUGGAAUAAAAGAGCACCAACGCAAGCAAUACUGCUCGUACGAAAAAUAUCCAUAGUUACUACACUCUUACUAUAGUAAAACCAUGGUUCGCCUUCAUAAGUAUUUGAUUAAUUAUAACUUUUACGUUAUAAGAAAGGUAAGUUAUUAUGGAAGCCCGUUUCCGCCACUAAAUAAAAAAAUAAAAAGAGUAAUUGCGACUUUUUAUCUCAGAAUUCUGACUUUUUAUCUCGCAAUUGCGAGUUUAUAUCUCACAAUUGCGUGAUAUAAAGUCAGAACUGCGAGAUAUAAACUCGCAAUUGCGUGAUAUAAAGUCAGAAUUCUGAGAUAUAAACUCGCAAUUCUGACUUUUUUUUUCUCGCAAUUGCGAGUUUAUUUCUCAGAAUUCUGACUUUUUUUUUUUCGCAAUUCUGACUUUUUUUUUCUCGCAAUUGCGAGUUUAUAUCUCAGAAUUCUGACUUUUUUUUCUCGCAAUUAACUGACAGACAGUUUCUCUGUCUGUAACAAUUCCGGACAUCCAACAUUUCUGGUACAUCCAACGAUAGCCGUGCUGCCGUUCUGAUGUCUGAAGCUGCUGGUGUAGAAAAUGUGCCACUUCAGCUUCGUCUGUUUUAUUGCGCCUCCGCCACAGCUGAUUCUUAUUAUUAUUACUAUUAUAUUGUUAUUAUUGUGUCAAAUUCAUUAGUGUAUCCAUUCUGUUAAAAAACAACUUUUAUUCACCAAAUACUUCCACUGUAUUUGCAGAAUUGCAUGAUUUUACCCUUGAAUGCCCCCUUUUAUGGAGCCACCAGACUUGAGUUGCAAAGUUACAAAGUUGAUGAAACAUGAUAGGUAUUGGUGUUUUAGUAUUAAGCCCACUAGAUGGCAGUAAAAGCUGUUUUUUCUCCUUGAAACGAAACAAUGAUACUCAUGUACAAGGUUACCGUGAAAACAUGCUAUAUGCAUAUUCCUGCAUAAUGCAUAUGUCCGGAGACUAAUCUUUAUGUGUCUCCUCCAGUAAAAUCAAAAUUUCUUUAUUGGUAAAUCUGCGCUAAAAAUAAUCCUUUAUAAUGUCUUCCAUUUUAUGUAGAAUAAUAACGAAGCAGCAAUCCUGAUGGUCAGUCGCAAUGAAAGGAAACGCAAGCAAAGUAAGAACUGUGAGAAAUAAAGUUUCACACAAUUGUGAGAAAAAAAGUCAGAAUUUAUAUCUCAGAAUUCUGACUUUAUAUCACGCAAUUGCGAGUUUAUAUCUCGCAAUUCUGACUUUAUAUCACGCAAUUGCGAGUUUAUAUCUCAGAAUUCUGACUUUAUAUCACGCAAUUGCGAGUUUAUAUCUCGCAAUUCUGACUUUAUAUCACGCAAUUGCGAGUUUAUAUCUCGCAAUUCUGACUUUAUAUCACGCAAUUGCGAGUUUAUAUCUCAGAAUUCUGACUUUAUAUCACGCAAUUGCGAGUUUAUAUCUCGCAAUUCUGACUUUAUAUCACGCAAUUGUGAGAUGUAAACUCGCAAUUGCGAGAUAAAAAGUCAGAAUUCUGAGAUAAAAGUCGCAAUUACUCUUUUUAUUUUAUUAUUUUUUUUAUUUAGUGGCGGGAAUGGGCUUCCAUAAGUUAUACUGCUGUUUAAUCGUCAGCUUGGUUUGUUUGUGCAUGUCUUGUAUGCUCUUCUGCUCCUUUACAGUCAGCUAGCUCGCGAUGCUAACGGACUUUUACAGUCAUUGUGAUUCUGUUAACAGAUUGUCAGGAGGGAAUCAGCGAUGCUUGACAGUUUUAGUUUGUUUUUGUUUGCAGUGCAACUGUAACGUAAAAUAGUCUAGCAUUAAUAGUCUUAAUUUAAAUGUAAAUUUAACAGGUAUGAAAGACCUGAAAGAAACACUGCUAAUGAGAUGACGAGCACUUGACAGCAGUAGGUUACGUUAGUUGGGAAAUAUAUAUUUAUUAUUCAGAAUGCGCAUUUGGAAGGGAAAUCCUUUCGGCUCUGCGGGUUAAUAAAGGCCCUUUGAAGCAAAGCUAUUGUGUUUUUGUAAGAAAAAUAUUCAUAUUUAAAACUUUAUAAAUUCAAAUAACUAGCUUCCGGCAGACGACCGUACACAUAUCCACACACAAGUUGACUUUUGGCACAAGAGUAACCCCUGACGCGAUGUAUGAUGCAGGAUGUUGGGGUAUUAUAAGCUUAGACAGCUCACGGUUCAAACAAAUACGGCUGUGCAACAAACUCAAGCUCCUCUUCUAUCGAAAUCCUCCGACAUUUCUCUUUUAGAAAUAUUUCGUUUCAGACCGGUGUUUUGUUUUGUUUUGUUCUCUCCUCUGCGCCUCCGCUUUCGUCAUUGCAUCAGGUCAAAGGUUGCUCUUCCGCCCAAGUCGACUUGUGCAGUAUGCGUACGAUUGUCUGCUGGAAGCUUGUUAUUUGAAUUUAUAAAGUUUUAAAUAUGGAUAUUUUUCUUACACAAAUGCAUCGCUUCGCUUCAAACGGCCUUUAUUAACCCACUGGAGCCUUAUGAAUUACUUUGAUUAUGGAUGGAUGCAUUUAUUUUUUGUUUUAAAAUGUGGCCCCCCAUUCACUACCAUUAUAAACCUUGGAGGACUAAGGAUAUUUUUAAAUAUAUAUCAGAUUGUGUUCAUCUGAAAGAAGAUCAUAUACACCUAGAAUGGCUUGAAGGUGAGAAAAUCAUGGGAUAAUUUUCAUUUUUGGGUGAACUAUCCACUUUAAUGUGUUCUGAUGUGGUUAUAAUUGAUCAUUGUUCUGUUUUAUAAAUAUUUUUGGUAACACUUUACAAUACGUUUCAUUUGUUAAUAUUAGCUAAUGUAUUAACUAACAUGAACUAACCAUAAGCAAUACAUUUGUUAUUGUAUUUACUAAUCUUCAUUAAUGUUAGUUAAUGAAAAUACAGCUAUUCAUUGUUUGUUGAUGUUAGUUCACAGUCAUUAACUAAUGUUAACAAGAUUUUAAUAAUGUAUAAGUAAAUGUUAAAAUUAACAUUAACAAAGAUGAAUAAAUGCUGUAGAAGUGCAGUUCAUUAUUAGUUCAUGUUAACUAAUGUUAACUAAUGACCCUUAUUGUAAAGUGUUACCACAUUUUCAAUAUUUUAAAGUUUUAUUGUUUUGAAAAAUGUUUAUACAGAAAAGAUGGAUUAAUUUGAUCAAAAGUUACAGUAAAGACUUAAAUUGUAAAAAAAAAAAAAAAAAAAAAUGUUGCUCUUUUGAAAGUUUUAUUUAAAAAAAUACUGUAUCAUGGUUUCCACAAAAAAAUCUGAAGCAGUACAGCUGUUUUCAACACUGAUAAUCAGAAAUGUUUCUUGAGAAGCAAAUCAUCAUAUUAGAAUGAUUUCUGAAGGAUCAUGUGACACUGAAGACUGGAGUAAUGAUGCUGAAAAUUCAGCUUUGAUCACAUACAUUUUAUCACAUACAUUUCUCUAUGAAUACAUUUUACAAUGUAUUCAUAUAGAAAAGUUAUUUUUGUAGUAAUAUUUCACAAUAUUACUGUUUUUAGUUUGAUCAAAUGCAGGUUUAAGAUGUGAUCAGAAAAGUGUCUUUUUUGUUGUUGUUUUUUACGUGAUGUGUCAAUAAAUGUUUUGGUACUCUUGUGAAUUGUCUUAUUUUGACAGUAAUUAUGAAUAUGAAAUAUAAAAAUAUAAUCAUGAAUUCGCGUUUGAAAUUAGGCCCGAAAAAGACGUCUUUUCACCUUUCACUUUUCAACCAAAAUUUAACGUUGUUUAGACGUCUGGCAAUGUCGUCUUUUCUACGUCUUUUCAACGAGUUUUUGCUGGGUGGGAAAUCUCUAAGUAGAUCAGUCCUCAAGAAAUGUUUUCCCCUUGCGUGUGAUGGACUUUUGGUCAGCUCUGGGUUUUGAAUCAUCCAACAUGUCCCACUCGUCCAAGCCUCGAUCUCACCCUUGCGGCCUGUGUGACAAAUCUUUUACCCAGAUAUCCAUGCUCACCAAACACCAGAGAAUGCAUAAACGCAGCCACACCGGGGAGAAGCCUCACACUUGCCGGAUUUGCUCCAAGACCUUCAUCUCUUCGGCCCAUCUGGCACUACACAUGCGAUCACACACUGGAGAGAGGAAGUACAAAUGCAGCGUAUGCUCCAAAAUGUUCAUGCAGUCGUCCCAACUCAUGCGCCACAAGACCAUCCACACCGGCGAGAAACCCUUCAAAUGCCCAGACUGCAACAAGUGCUUUGGCCGUGCCUCACACUUGAAAACCCAUCGCAGGCUCCACACCGGCGAGAAGCCCUUCAAAUGCACACUGUGCGAUAGGGCUUUUACUCAAAAGGCCGGACUUAUCAUCCACCUGCGCUUACACACAGGGGAGCGCCCUUUUAAGUGUGACAAGUGUGGCAAGGCCUUCCGCACGUCAGCCCACCUGCUUAACCAUCAGGCUUUGGAGUUGGGUGAGGGCAGGUACGUCUGUGCCACAUGUCAGAAGGGCUUCAGGUCUGUGUCCAUGCUAAAACAGCACGAGAAAAGCCACCAGGGCAGCGGGACGCUCUGUUGCAGCGUGUGCUCGGGGGCCUUUGCUCAUUCCUCUUAUCUGCAGCUCAAACUGCACUUACACAACGGAGAGCAGCUCUUCCACUGCAAGGUGUGCAACAAAAUAUUCGUGAAGAUGUCCACCUUUGAGAAACACUGCAAAAAACAUCAGAUGGAGAUGGACGAAGGCGAGGACGAGACCGUAAAAGAGGAAGAUCCCCCAUUUGAACUGCACACAGGCUGCAUCUCCGACACCAUCAACAUCAGAAGUCAACACACGAUCCAAAACAAGAGCCAAAAUUAAGAGUACAAUGGACAACUCAUAAUAAUGGACUGACUUGAAAAACUAGUCUUGAUGUUGUUUUUGGGCUCUACUAGAACAGGUUUUCAUGCUUGAAUGUUCAUUAUUUUCCUCAUAUUCUCCAUUGUUGCAGCUCCUCUCUUCCCAGUCUGUCAGUAACGCUCUGUUUAGUUCCUGUCUCUAUGAAGCCCCUCCUUCUGAAAAGCUCAAUGUGCUCUGAUUGGUCGGCUGGAGCAGUGUGUUGUGAUUGGUUAAGCGCUUUGAGCGUGUUUGGGAAAUGUCCCAACCCUUGCCAUAACCGCCAGUUUCAACACACUAACUAACCAUGCCCCUUUAUUCUGCGUAUGAAUUAUUUAAAUGAGGAGGAUUGUGACGUGUUCGUUCCUGGAAGAAAACUCAAGACUACAAUGGAGGAGUUUCAGGGAGUUCAGAAACAGUGACACUGAAACAGAGAAUAACUCCUGAUGGAGAGCUUCUUCAUGAUCAAACAGCAACAUUACACACUAAAGAAAGAUGAACAUUGACAAAAAACAUAAUAGGACCCCUUUAACAAUGCCCUACUGUAUUUAUGAUUUAUGAUAUAAAUGAUGCCUUCAUUUGCUUGUAUUUAUGAACAUCUCUUUGCACACAUACAGACCUAUGGAUCAUGUGCAGGUGUACAAACACUUGUCUUUGCAGAGCUUUUUGCACUUAAUCUAAUUAUUUUUUUUAUUUUUAUUUUUUUUUAUCUCUCAUCAGAAAACACUAUAUCUUCUCAGCUUUGAAGAUAUUAAUACCAGGGAUGUGUGCCAUGCAGAAUCGAACUAAGCUUGUCUUUUAAAUUCCUAUUCUGUUCCCUUAUAUUUAAUUCCUUAUAUUUGAAUUGAGGUGGCAAACAGAUGUACCUAAAUAUUUGUAUUUUAAAUAUUGUAAGUUUUGUUAACCUUUUUAUGUUGAAUUUUACUGCAUUACAAAUCUGUAAUUUCUUUUUCUUGUCACUGUUUUAAAUUAAUUAAAGGAUUAGUUCACUUUCAAAUGAAAAUUACCCCAAGCUUUACUCACCCUCAAGCCAUCCUAGGUGUUUAUGACUUUCUUCUUUCUGAUGAACACAAUCAGAGUUAUAUUAAUAAAUAUCCUGACACAUCCGAGCUUUGGCAGUGAACGGGAUCGACGAGUAUGAGCUGAAGUAAGUGCCUCCAUCCACAUCUAUCCAUCAUAAACGUACUCCACACGGCUCUGGAGGGUUAAUAAGGCCUUCUGAAGUGUAAAAAAAAAAAGUCCAUAUUUAACAAGUUAUAAAGUAAAAUAUAUAGCUUCCACCAGACCGCCUUCCAUAUUCAACUUACAAGGAAAGUGUAACGCAUCUGGCAGUUCAGAAAGCUUACGCUACGUCCUACGCCUUCCCUAUUCACCUUACGGAAAAAGUGUAACUGACACGAUACCAGUUUACACUUUCCUCAUAGCUUAAAUACGGAAGGCGGUCUGGCGGAAGCUAGAUAUUUUACUUCAUAACUUGUUAAAUAUGGAUUUUUUUUUUUUUUUUACACAAACACAUCGCUUCGCUUCAGAAGGCCUUUAUUAACCCCCGGAGCCAUGUGGAGUAUGUUUAUGAUGGAUGGAGGCACUUUCUUGAGCUUCAUUAUAAAGCUCGGAUGCAUCAGGAUAUUUAUUAAUAUAUCUCAGAUUGUGUUCAUCAGAAAGAAGAAAGUCAUUUACACCUAUGGCUUGAGGGUGAGUAAAGUUUGGGGUAAUUGUUAUUUCAAAGUGAACUAAUCCUUUAAAUGGCCAUUUUUAUUCAAAUUCUAACUCAAACUAAACUGGAACCAAUUCUUCAGCUCUUAAUUUGCACAAUCCUGAUUAAUACUAAAACUUACUACUAUACAUACUACAUCUAAAAAUGCAGACAAAUGUAAAAGAAUUGAGACCUGCUUAAAACCUGCACCCACAGAAAGAUCUGUAGGUUUCCACUGAAUUGAAAGGCCUGUCAUUUGUAACGUUCGACAAAUUGACACUCCUGGAGUGGCUAUUUAUUUAUUUUCUUUUUCUUUUUUAAUACUAAGAUUGUUAUAGUCUUGUAAAAGUCUGACUUCAUUAGAUCUUUAAAACCAUUCCUUAGAUUUCUGCAGAUUUCCCUCAAAAUCAGCACAGAAAAUUUGUAUAAACGUCCCAUCUGGGCCUAGUCAUAUUGCACAAUGCACAUCUCAGAUUUCAUAAUGCACAUAAGGUUAAAUCUGAAGAGGAAGAAAAUAUAUUAAAACAGCAAUAUGACUUUUAUUGUGUAGUUUCAAAGAGCCCAAGUAAGGUAUUAUUGACAAUGGGCUGUUGAAUUAAUAUAUAAUGUGCAGUCAGCUGGUUUCAUUCCACUGACAAAUACAGAGAAACUCGCAAUACAUAAAUGCUUUGUCAAAGUCUGACAGUAAACAAUGCUGUUGAUUACUUGUGUUAAUACUGUAGAUUUUUAUUUAUUUAUUUCAUUUUAAAUGUAAAAUAUUGCUAAAAAAAAAAUAAAUUGAUUUGCUGUUAAAUUUAUAUUAGAUGAUUGUUUUGUUUUGUAGAGCAACACAAGACAACAUCUGUGAUUGACAUCUGUCUGGGCUCAUUAUAUGUGAGCAGCAGAACCUGAGCUGGGAAUGUGUUUUUGCAAACAUUUGGCUUCUGGAUUGAACCUGUGACCUCUAUUGCUUUAAACAGAGAAUUAAAAAUGUAUGCAAAAGUG